GGGAGUUUGGCCGAGUGGUCUAAGGCGCCAGAUUUAGGUAUUCUGGUAUCUUCGGAUGCGAGGGUUCGAACCCCUCAGCUCUCA